rnacentral:rRNA from 1 species
UACGGGAGGCAGCAGUGGGGAAUAUUGCACAAUGGGCGCAAGCCUGAUGCAGCCAUGCCGCGUGUAUGAAGAAGGCCUUCGGGUUGUAAAGUACUUUCAGUCGUGAGGAAGGUGUUAAGGUUAAUAACCUUAGCAAUUGACGUUAGCGACAGAAGAAGCACCGGCUAACUCCGUGCCAGCAGCCGCGGUAAUACGGAGGGUGCGAGCGUUAAUCGGAGUUACUGGGCGUAAAGGGCACGCAGGCGGUUAAUUAAGUUGGAUGUGAAAUCCCCGGGCUUAACCUGGGAAUGGCAUUCAAGACUGGUUAGCUAGAGUCUUGUAGAGGGGGUAGAAUUCCAUGUGUAGCGGUGAAAUGCGUAGAGAUGUGGAGGAAUACCGGUGGCGAAGGCGGCCCCUGGACAAAGACUGACGCUCAUGUGCGAAAGCGUGGGGAGCAAAC